rnacentral:rRNA from 1 species
CUAAAACGGAAUAAUAUCCCAAUAACUCUGGGUUUUGGGAUCAAAGGUGGCCUCUACAUGAAAGCUACUGUUUGGAGAUGAGCCCGGGUACCAUUAGCUUGUUGGUAGGGUAAUGGCCUACCAAGGCAACGAUGGUUAGCUGGUCUGAGAGGAUGAUCAGCCACACUGGAACUGACACACGGUCCAGACUCCUACGGGAGGCAGCAGUGAGGAAUUUUGCGCAAUGGGGGAAACCCUGACGCAGCAACGCCGCGUGAGUGAUGAAGGCUUUCGAGUCGUAAAGCUCUGUCAAGUGAGAAGAACCUACUUUUUGUUAAUACCAUUAAGUACUGACGGUAUCACUGAAGGAAGCACCGGCUAACUCCGUGCCAGCAGCCGCGGUAAUACGGAGGGUGCAAGCGUUAUUCGGAAUUAUUGGGCGUAAAGGGCGCGUAGGCGGUCUUUUAAGUCAGAUGUGAAAGCCCAGGGCUCAACCCUGGAAGUGCAUUUGAAACCAAGAGACUUGAGUAUGGGAGAGGGAAGUGGAAUUCCUGGUGUAGAGGUGAAAUUCGUAGAUAUCAGGAGGAACACCGGUGGCGAAGGCGACUUCCUGGACCAAUACUGACGCUGAGGCGCGAAGGCGUGGGAGCAAACAGGAUUAGAUACCCUGGUAGUCCACGCAGUAAACGAUGAACACUAGGUGUAGCGGGUAUUGACCCCUGCUGUGCCGCAGUUAACGCAAUAAGUGUCACGAACUCAGAGACGCGGCGG